UAAGUCCUUUGGAUGUUAUGCAGAUGUUGGGUCGUGCGGGAAGGCCUCAGUAUGAUUCAUAUGGGGAAGGAAUUAUCAUCACUGGCCACAGUGAACUUCAGUACUAUUUAUCUUUAAUGAAUCAACAGCUUCCUAUUGAAAGUCAGUUUGUAUCCAAACUGGCUGAUCAAUUGAAUGCAGAAAUUGUUCUUGGAACUGUGCAAAAUGCUAGAGAAGCCUGCAAUUGGCUUGGCUAUACUUACUUGUAUGUCCGUAUGCUACGAAAUCCAACGCUGUAUGGCUUAGCACCAGAUGUUCUCACCAGAGAUAUUACAUUGGAGGAGAGGAGGGCUGAUUUGAUUCAUUCUGCUGCAACUAUCUUGGACAAAAAUAAUCUGGUCAAGUAUGACAGGAAAAGUGGAUAUUUCCAGGUCACUGACUUGGGUCGCAUUGCUAGUUAUUACUAUAUAACUCAUGGGACAAUAUCCACGUAUAAUGAGCAUCUGAAGCCAACAAUGGGGGACAUAGAACUAUGCCGUCUUUUCUCCUUGAGUGAAGAAUUUAAAUAUGUAACAGUAAGACAAGAUGAGAAGAUGGAACUGGCAAAGCUUUUAGACCGUGUUCCAAUUCCAAUCAAGGAAAGUCUGGAAGAGCCUAGUGCUAAGAUUAAUGUGUUACUUCAAGCCUAUAUUUCACAACUUAAGCUUGAAGGGCUUUCCCUCACAUCUGACAUGGUGUUCAUAACUCAGAGUGCUGGCCGUCUUCUACGAGCUCUUUUUGAGAUUGUCUUGAAAAGAGGAUGGGCACAGUUAGCUGAGAAGGCUCUGAAUUUGUGUAAAAUGGUCAACAAGAGGAUGUGGAGCGUCCAGACACCCCUGCGCCAAUUCAUUGGGAUCCCAAAUGAAAUUCUGAUGAAGUUGGAGAAGAAAGAUUUGGCUUGGGAAAGGUAUUAUGACCUUUCAUCACAGGAAAUUGGUGAGCUCGUUCGUUUCCCAAAGAUGGGAAGAACAUUGCAUAAGUUCAUCCACCAAUUCCCAAAGCUUAACCUGGCAGCACAUGUUCAGCCAAUCACUCGUACUGUGUUGAGGUUUGAACUUACUAUAACACCAGACUUUCAAUGGGAAGACAAGGUUCAUGGAUAUGUGGAACCAUUUUGGGUCAUUGUGGAGGAUAAUGAUGGUGAAAGCGUUCUCCAUCAUGAGUACUUUAUGUUGAAGAAGCAGUACAUUGAUGAGGACCACACAUUGAACUUCACAGUGCCAAUUUAUGAGCCAUUGCCUCCACAGUAUUUCAUCCGUGUUGUGUCAGAUAAAUGGCUCGGGUCACAAACUGUUUUACCUGUCUCUUUUAGGCACCUUAUUUUACCAGAAAAGUAUCCUCCACCCACAGAGUUAUUGGAUUUGCAACCUCUGCCCGUGACUGCAUUGAGGAAUCCAUCAUAUGAAGCUCUUUAUCAAGAUUUUAAACAUUUUAAUCCUGUCCAAACUCAGGUCUUUACUGUUCUGUAUAAUACAGAUGACAAUGUAUUGGUUGCUGCACCAACAGGGAGUGGGAAAACCAUCUGUGCUGAGUUUGCUAUAUUGAGGAAUUAUCAAAAGGGAUCUGAUAGCAUAAUGCGUGCUGUUUAUAUUGCACCUCUUGAGGCAAUUGCUAAGGAACGCUAUCGCGAUUGGGAGAGAAAGUAUGGUCGAGGUCUUGGAAUGCGUGUUGUUGAAUUGACUGGAGAAACUGCAACAGACUUAAAGCUGCUUGAAAAGGGUCAAAUAAUUAUCAGCACUCCGGAAAAAUGGGAUGCUUUGUCUCGUCGCUGGAAACAGAGGAAGUAUGUGCAGCUGGUUAGUCUAUUUAUCAUUGAUGAGCUCCACUUGAUUGGGGGUCAUGGAGGUCCUGUCUUAGAGGUGAUUGUUUCUAGAAUGAGAUAUAUUGCUAGUCAGAUAGAGAAUAAGAUUCGAAUUGUGGCUUUGUCAUCUUCCCUUGCAAAUGCCAAGGAUCUUGGGGAAUGGAUAGGAGCCACCUCCCAUGGCCUUUUUAAUUUCCCCCCUGGUGUGCGUCCUGUCCCCUUAGAAAUACAUAUUCAGGGAGUGGAUAUUGCCAAUUUUGAAGCAAGGAUACAGGCCAUGACGAAACCAACAUACACUGCAAUAGUCCAACAUGCCAAAAAUGGAAAGCCUGCUAUUGUGUUUGUUUCUACGAGAAAGCAUGUGCGACUCACUGCUGUGGAUCUGAUGACAUACUCAAGUGUGGACAGUGGAGAGAAACCUGCUUUUUUGUUGAGGUCCUCGGUAGAGCUGGAGCCCUUUGUUGGCAAGAUUCAGGAUGAAAUGUUGAGAGCUACUUUACUUCAUGGUGUUGGAUACUUGCAUGAGGGCUUGAGUAGCUUGGAUCAAGAAGUUGUGUCACAGCUGUUUGAAGCUGGGUGGAUUCAGGUUUGUGUUAUGAGCAGUUCAAUGUGUUGGGGAGUGCCAUUGUCAGCGCAUUUGGUAGUUGUGAUGGGAACUCAAUAUUAUGAUGGGCGUGAAAAUGCUCACACUGAUUACCCUGUUACAGAUCUCUUGCAGAUGAUGGGUCAUGCCAGUCGACCUCUACUAGAUAACUCUGGAAAGUGUGUCAUCCUCUGCCAUGCACCUCGUAAAGAGUAUUACAAGAAAUUCUUAUAUGAAGCUUUCCCUGUGGAAAGCCAUUUGCACCAUUUCCUGCAUGACAAUUUCAACGCAGAAAUAGUUGCUGGAGUUAUUGAAAAUAAGCAAGAUGCAGUAGAUUAUCUUACUUGGACAUUUAUGUAUAGGCGGCUCACUCAGAAUCCAAAUUACUACAAUCUCCAGGGAGUUAGUCAUAGACAUCUUUCUGAUCACCUUUCAGAGCUUGUUGAGCAAACAUUGAGUGAUUUGGAAGCAGGUAAAUGUGUUGCUAUCGAGGACGACAUGGACCUGUCUCCACUGAAUCUUGGCAUGAUAGCAUCAUACUAUUACAUCAGUUACACUACUAUUGAGCGUUUUAGUUCUUCUUUGACUCCCAAAACAAAGAUGAAGGGUCUUCUGGAAAUUCUGGCUUCAGCUUCAGAGUAUGCCCAUCUUCCCAUACGACCUGGAGAAGAAGAGGUGCUUCGGCGGCUGAUCAAUCACCAGAGGUUCUCAUUUGAGAAUCCCAGAUAUACUGAUCCACAUGUGAAGGCAAAUGUACUGCUACAAGCCCAUUUCUCAAGGCAAUCUGUGGGUGGAAACCUUGCACUGGACCAACGAGAGGUGCUUCUUUCUGCCAGUAGAUUGCUCCAAGCAAUGGUUGAUGUUAUUUCAAGCAAUGGCUGGUUAAGCCUUGCUAUUCUUGCAAUGGAAGUUAGUCAAAUGGUGACACAGGGGAUGUGGGAGCGUGAUUCUAUGCUUCUACAGCUUCCACACUUCACAAAGGAAUUGGCCAAGAAAUGCCAAGAGAAU
rnacentral:misc_RNA from 1 species